AAUCCUCUUUCAUCCUUCCAAUUGCAUCAACUUCAAUGGGAUCUGGCUUUCUUCCGUAAGAUCCACAUAAAUGUCCAACAAUCACAACAUCUUGUACUCCAAAUACGGACUUUAUACCCAAUAAUGUAAGAUGAACUUCUCCAAGCCGAGUUAAAAUCUUUUCACAAUCUUGUAUAUGAUCAACAACAUAUUUGUGACAUCCCCUCUUAUCUAAAGUUUCAUCCUUGUCUCCUUCUCUGCACCCUUU
rnacentral:lncRNA from 1 species